AAAUUGCCCUGAUUGGGGGAAACCAUUGGAAACGAUGCUAAUACCGCAUGAGCCUACGGGCCAAAAGGGGGACCUUCGGGCCUCUCGCGUCAGGAUAUGCCUAGGUGGGAUUAGCUAGUUGUGAGGUAAGGGCUCACCAAGGCGACGAUCCCUAGCUGGUCUGAGAGGAUGAUCAGCCACACUGGAACUGAGACACGGUCCAGACUCCUACGGGAGGCAGCAGUGGGGAAUAUUGCACAAUGGGCGCAAGCCUGAUGCAGCCAUGCCGCGUGUGUGAAGAAGGCCUUCGGGUUGUAAAGCACUUUCAGUCGUGAGGAAGGUAGUGUAGUUAAUAGCUGCAUUAUUUGACGUUAGCGACAGAAGAAGCACCGGCUAACUCCGUGCCAGCAGCCGCGGUAAUACGGAGGGUGCGAGCGUUAAUCGGAAUUACUGGGCGUAAAGCGCAUGCAGGUGGUUUGUUAAGUCAGAUGUGAAAGCCCGGGGCUCAACCUCGGAAUAGCAUUUGAAACUGGCAGACUAGAGUACUGUAGAGGGGGGUAGAAUUUCAGGUGUAGCGGUGAAAUGCGUAGAGAUCUGAAGGAAUACCGGUGGCGAAGGCGGCCCCCUGGACAGAUACUGACACUCAGAUGCGAAAGCGUGGGGAGCAAACAGGAUUAGAUACCCUGGUAGUCCACGCCGUAAACGAUGUCUACUUGGAGGUUGUGGCCUUGAGCCGUGGCUUUCGGAGCUAACGCGUUAAGUAGACCGCCUGGGGAGUACGGUCGCAAGAUUAAAACUCAAAUGAAUUGACGGGGGCCCGCACAAGCGGUGGAGCAUGUGGUUUAAUUCGAUGCAACGCGAAGAACCUUACCUACUCUUGACAUCCAGAGAACUUUCCAGAGAUGGAUUGGUGCCUUCGGGAACUCUGAGACAGGUGCUGCAUGGCUGUCGUCAGCUCGUGUUGUGAAAUGUUGGGUUAAGUCCCGCAACGAGCGCAACCCUUAUCCUUGUUUGCCAGCGAGUAAUGUCGGGAACUCCAGGGAGACUGCCGGUGAUAAACCGGAGGAAGGUGGGGACGACGUCAAGUCAUCAUGGCCCUUACGAGUAGGGCUACACACGUGCUACAAUGGCGCAUACAGAGGGCGGCCAACUUGCGAAAGUGAGCGAAUCCCAAAAAGUGCGUCGUAGUCCGGAUUGGAGUCUGCAACUCGACUCCAUGAAGUCGGAAUCGCUAGUAAUCGUGGAUCAGAAUGCCACGGUGAAUACGUUCCCGGGCCUUGUACACACCGCCCGUCACACCAUGGGAGUGGGCUGCAAAAGAAGUAGGUGGUUUAACCUUCGGGGGGACGCUUACUGUGUGAUGUCCGUACGCGCC
rnacentral:rRNA from 1 species